GGGGGCAGGUAUCGUCAUGACUGGGCGUAAGCGCAUGUAGGUGGUUUUGAGCCGCCGCUCAUACAAAUCCCUAGGCUUACCUUAGGUAUUAUGUGCAGGUGGUAAAAACUAGAGUAAGUGAGAGGAGAGUAGAAUUCUUGGUGGAGAGGUGGAAUUUAUAGAUACCAGGAGGAAUUCCGAGAGCGAAGGCAGCUCUCUAGCACUUAACUGACGCUGAGAUGCUAAAGCGUGGGUAUCGACGGGGAUUAGAGACCCCCUUAGUCCACGCCCUCAACGAUGAAAAUUCACCAUUAGAUUAAUUCCAGUUACUUUAGUGGUCUAGCUAACGCGUUAAUUUUCCGCCUGAGGAGUACGGCCGCGAGGUUAAAACUCAAAGGAAUAGACGGGGGCUCAUACAAGUGGUGGAACAUGUGGUUUAAUUCGAAACAACGCCGCAAGAACCCUUACCAGUUCUUGGACAUAAAUUUGAAUCUCCUCCGUAAUGGGACGAGAAAUUCGGUUUACAGGUGUUGCAUGGCUGUCGUCAGCUCGUGUCGUUGAGAUGUUUGGUUAGUUCCCUUAACGAGCGCAACCCUCAUGAAAAACUAUUUACUCAAGUAAAAUUUUUCAGACUAACAGUUACAUACUGAAGGAAGGUGAGGAUCACGCCAAGUCGUCAUGACCCUUAUGAACUGGGCAACACACGUGUUACAAGGGCGGCCACAAAAGGAAGCAAUGACGCGAGUUGGGGCGAAUCCAAAAAGGUCGCCUUAGUUCAGAUUGCUCUCUGCAACUCGAGAGCAUGAAGUUGGAAUCACUAGUAAUCGUGGAUCAGCACGCCACGGUGAAUUUGUACCUGGGCCUUGUACUCCCCGCCCGUCACGCUCCGGAAGUCGAGUGGACUGGAAGACUUACUAUUUAGUUUCCUAUUAUUUGAUUUAUGCGUCUUUUUUAGACCUUCUUGCCCGUGCUUUCUUUGAAAGCAAAAAAGA
rnacentral:rRNA from 1 species